CAUAAAAGAUAGGCUUCUACUUACUAUUUUAGUCUGGCCUGUACUAUGUAGAAAGCCAGAUUAAAUCAUCAUAAUAUUCCCUUCUAGCCUUAAUCUACAUGUGAUUAAAAACAUGUUACGUAGUUACCUGUUCCUAUAGAGAUGACCAUCUCCACCCCAUUCAAGUUGAUAUUUUCAAGCCAUCAAAUGAAACUAGCUGAGACAAAGUGUGCUUGAUGAAACUGCUUGUGUGACAUCUGCAAAUCACAGCUGUGUCUGUGGGGAUGUCAGUAAGUAAAUAUUGAGGCUGAAAUCCUAAAACACAACAGAUACACAGCCAGCAUGGUGUCCCACAGGUGGGUGCAGGCGUGCCAUGCACUGGAAGGGACAACCAACCCUUCAGGCCUUUCCUGUAUUCCACCGUCCUCCAUGAAUAUUGAAGAUGGAAUUUUUUUUUACACAUUUAUAGUAGCAAUCACGUGAACCCGAGCUCAUUUUCACAAACAAAGCAUGCCCAAUCAACAGUCUCAUUUUUUUUUUUCUGCCUAAUGGAUAUUAACACAACAAUUUUUGCAGAAAAGGUACAGGUGGGUUUCACACUCCUUCUGGGCCCCACAACAAAGACUUGCAGGUGUUUCCUAUAUCUUUGUGGUUAUUUCUUUCAAACAGCAUCUGUUGAAAUGCAUCUUGCCUCCUGCUUAAAAUAACCCCAUUGCUUGGCAAUGCAGGGUGUUUGCCUUAGCCUUAACUGCCCACCCACGCUGAACAUUUUAUGUUAUUUAGAUCAACCAGGGGCACAAUGAGAGUCUUUGACCAGCAAGACUUCCUUCAGAGUGGGAGGCUCUGAAGGGGGAAAGGUGACCUAGGGAUGUGGUAACAUUUUUCACCUCCACUUCUCUUUCCAGUCGGGCAGCCCCGUCAUAGUUGGCACCGACCGCGCUACCACCUGCCGCCUCCUCAGCGUCCCAGCAGAAAUCCACACAAAACCUGGCUUGUCUUUGGGUAAUUCCACUUGUAAAGUAGAAGCAGCUCACUUAAGCAUUGCGCACGGCAUCUUAUUAAGCACCUCGUGAUAUGUAAAAUUAAGACAACUGAAAGAAAAUUUCUGAAAAUGCGUCUCUAUACUUUGUGACCACAGCUGACUUGUAUCUGGUGAGGUUUCCUGGGUCGUGAGUCCAUAGUUCCCAUAACCUUUUGGAAAAUGUCUGAUUUAACUUUAUUUUGCUUCAAUAAUAACUACUAAUGUUGUGUUAACCAAUCAAAAGAAAACAAGUGGUCAAAGCAAGACCUAGAAAAACAGAUCCAGGACAAUAUAGAUAGGUUGAACAUGAUUUGGUUCUGAAUGCUCAGCAUGAGCUAUAACUAAUUAUGACUAAAAUCCCCUGGGCAAACUGAUCUAGAUGUGGUGUCCCUAUUCAUUGCAGGGGAGUUGGCCCUUGGAGGUCCCUUCCAACUCUAAAGGUUCUAUGAUUAUGUGAUUCUAAUUCAGACAUGCAAAGUGGUCUGGGAGGGAACUGGGAGUCAGGAGUUAAGGCUAGGCACUACAAAUCUACCUCAAUCUGUGAAUUUCAUUGUAGGAAGAGCAUUAGGUUGUUUUAGUUUUUGUUUUUUUUUUCCUAAUUUCUUUUUUAUUUCUUUUUAGGGUGUUUUUGUUGUUGUUGUUAUUGUUAUUGUUGUUUUUUUCCUUUAAGAUAUGAUUUAGACACCACUGGGAGUUACUUGGAUGUUGCCUUCCAAAUUGAGUGCUUUUAUUUUUUUAAUACUGUAGUGGAAAUGCUGAGUCACAGCUUGAAGCAGUGAUUGAGCACCUGGUGGGAAGGCAGGGCCAACCCAGGGGAGCUCAGGUGCAUGCAAUGCAGCUAAAUGACCAGAAGGGCUGGAGCCAGGAUUCACCCCUUCCCAGCCCUCAUUUAAGGGCUGGCAGUGGAAACAAGAAUAUCUUCCUGGAGGUUUGUGCCUACCUAAGGCUUUGCAAAGGUCAACUGCAUUUAAAUAACUGCUAGAUAAACUGCCCACAACUUGAAAUGAAUGCUGGAUGAAAAACACAGCAUGUUCUACUCCCUUAAAGUUGUUCUGCAUAAUUUUUAACCAAGUUUUGGAUGGAAGAGGUGAAUUAUUGCACAGCAUACAACUUUGGGCCACACACUCAAUGCUGCCACCCAUAAACACCUUACCUCAUCUUGAAGGACUGGUGACACAAGGCUGUGCCCGACAUCAUGCAGGGCUGUGUGAUGACUGAUUCCAGUGAAUGAAAGGGAGGAGGUAUCAAGGAUGCUGAAGAAGGAAUGUACCACUUGUCUGCAGAGUCUGGACAGAAGAGAAAGGGACAGUAGAAAAUGGGUCCACUUCAUCUCACUGGACGUGUUCAAAGAAUCAGCCUGAUCUCACGUUCCAAGAAUGAAACCCUGGCAUGGAAGUGGCAUAUCUGCUAGUUAAUGUCAACAUUUGAUGUGCAGUCAGAGAGCAAACAGGAUUUCAUAUUGUGGUAAAAAAUGGAAAUACUAUUCGCUUUAAUUCUAGUUUCUUCGCGUCGGAUGUAUUAGGAGUCUCAUAAAAUAGUAAAAGAAUUUAAUUUUUACUUGCAAUUAUAAGAAGCAAUAUAUAUAUAUAAUACAAUGUACCUACUUCUGCAAGUACAAACAAUAUGUAAAAUCUAGUUAGUAAUGGAUAGCUUGAAACAUCCUUUGCAGAAAGCAUUAUAAUAAAAGACUUCAGUGACUUUGUUUAACACUCAGCUACUAAGAAGGGGAAGAGAACAUUUGACUGUGAAUGAACUUCCCUAUAGCAAAAGGAAAUUUCUCCCUGAUUUACAAAUAGGCACGGAGAGACUAAGAUAUCAUGUACAGUGGGUGCAGCUUGCUGUCCAGCUCUCACCAGCCAUGUGUAGAAAGCAAAUUAACCCAUGUGCUUUAUUGUCCUCCAGUCUUCUGGACAAGAGAUCACAGGAGAUCAUGUUUCAAACAGUGAUGUCCCAAGUCUGGGAAGUGCUGAGCAAUGGGACUCUCACUGCUGUAGGAAGGCAGUGCUCAGAACCGCAGGAUAGUCCUGGGCUCCCAGGGACAAUAAUGAAUGACAACCAUCGCUGGCACAGCACUUCUGUGAGUCUCAGAGCAGAAACACCUGCCACAUAUCCCACCCUGGCAGGGAAAUGGAGCUGGUGACCUAGCAAUCUUUUCCACCUCUAACUUCUGGGUCUUUAUGAAUCGUCAGUCACACCUAGGUGAGAUAUCACUAUAAAAUCUCAGUCACGUAAGAGAGCUGGCAGAAAGCUUUGGCUUUCUGCAACUCUGUGCAACUCUGUGGUUUUAUGCUUAGAUGUGUCCUAAAUACUGAGAACGAAGUAGACUUUCAAGCAUCAGUGUUGACAGUUGCUUUCAGAGAUGUUCAAACAAAAUCCAGUCACAUAGACAGCAAAACCAGUUGCAGCACUAACAUGGCUUUUUUUUCUUUUAAAAAGAAAGCCAUCCCUAUCCAAACACACCUGUGGUGUGGAGUGACUGAUGCAGCUCUUUUUCAAGAGGCUGGCAUAGUUCUUUAUAGACUCAUAAACCCAUGGAAGCAUUUUGGUUAGAAAAGACCUUCAAGAUCAUCAAAGUCCCACUGUCAACCUCACCUACCAAGUGCCACCACUCAACCACGUCCUUUAGUGCUGCAGAAUAUCCUCAGAGCAAACUCGAGCGCUGUGCCCAGUGCCAGCUCUAUACUUGGGUCAGUGACAAUGAUUGACUUCAGAUUAUGGGGGCAUAUGCCUGGUUGCUGUCAUCUUAACACUGGGGCAGAGCUCAGUCUUCAGUACAUUUUUCUACACAGUAUGUUGUGUUGCAGUUGGAAAGUUUCUUUCCUUCUUCUCCUCUUCUAAAGUCAUGCAGCGGGAAAAGAAAACAUGGGAAACCGUGUCUUCAAAUCAUACACCUAUACUUCAUCUUGCUGUAUAAUCAUCACAGACAUUUGGUGGUGAGCUGUACUGUAUCUGCGUUUUGUCUGGAGUUUGGAAGUGGUUUUAACGAUUUAAAUCGCGGUGAAGAACAGGGCCACUCAAAAUGCAGAGCUGGAAAGCAGAACCGCGUCAGCAUCUGAAGUAUUUUAAAGUAGAUUUUGGUCCAGGUCCCGCUCCACUGUGUCCUCAUGUUGGGAAAGUAUAUUCAGAGCUGACAUGUCUUUCCCAGGUGUUUUCUACUGGGACAAAGUGCAGAGAGUGCAGUUAAUCAUGAGUGCAUUCAAGUGUCCUAAGGUCUUUGGGUGAAAGCUGUUAGAGACAUUGAAAAAGUGUUUAAUAAUCACAGCCCCAUGUCCUCAGCAGAGGCUUUUUGGGUUCACAAAAGUUCAAACACCUUUUAAGAAAUUUAGGCCAAAAUGUAAGCAGGCCAGAGCCAUACAGCAGUUGUAAUUGCAACGGGGACAACACUUUGCUGAACCAUUUUCAGGAUCAUGACUACUUGCUAAGAUACAUGCUGAGUGUUGCUGCUUUUAUAAACCACAGCAGGUUCAAAGGUACUCUGAGCAGUUUCCUAUAGUUGACAUAGAAAGAUAUACUUUUUUUUUUUUCCCAACUGUCUCACUUUUAAACAGUUUCAAUUGGAAGGGCAUAUAACAAUAAUCCCCAAGAGGAUUCAACAUUGGGUCUUUCAAUGGGCUGUCAACACAUCCUGUUCUUUCUCAUUUGCAAUAUAUGUCACUAAAAACAAACUGGACAUAUAAGGUACCUGUUUUUUUUCAGCAAAAUUAUGACUCAUGGAUGAGAGUAAAAAUACCCACAAGUUUUGUAACAACUAUGAAAGCUGCAAUCCCAGCUGAAAGGAAGAUAAUUUUUCUCUGCUCUCCAUUUUCCUGCCUUUCUGUUGGUUCCUCAGACCAUCUUUAGGGAUAGCGUUGCUCACACAACACCGAACUCCAUGCAACAGGCUGCUAUUGUGCUAGAGCUCUGUAUGGAGUGCUAUGGCCUAGCAAGGGAGAUGUGAAACUCACUAAAAAAAAAAAGUUGUAUUUGUGAAAUGCUUUUGGAUUACAUAAAAACAUUGCAGAGGAUUUUAUUGCCCCUUGUUGUACCGGCUAAGAGUUACCCAAACCGUCCAUAGAUGGAAGAAGAAAGGUUUAUCUACAGCUUUUGGAGUAGUUAGAAGGAAGAUAGAUAAGCAAACUUCUUGGUUCUCUAAGAAGUAGAAACUAAGAGCAAAAGGAUGAGUACUAUAGGGAAACCAACACACACAUGAGGCCCAGUGCUCUCUCCUGCAUUUAAAUACAUAAGCACUUGCAAGUAUCAUAGCUAUGCACUAUUUUACACCAACUGCACGUUUCUGGUUGGUAUCCCUUUAGUGCGACAAGCUCCUUAGCACAACACUGAGCAAUACCUCAGUGCUGGUUUGUUUCUGCCACAAACCAAUUAAGUACUGAGAAGUUAAUCAUUAGCCGGCCAGUUGUGCACUGAGACAGACUCCCUUCUUUGUCUUACGGUGUUAUUAAAUGCCUUCUUCUUUGAAAUGCCGCAUAAAAGUGAUAGAUGCCCUUUCUUUACAAGUCAGCCAUCCAGGCAAGCGAUGUUUUAUAUAAGUUCAGCCAACAAGAGCCCUCCUUGUUUAAAUAUAGAAGCAUAGGGCAGAUAAGGCUGAGCAAACCACUGCUGCCAUGAGCCUGGGCUGCAGAUAGGGGCUGGGGGCCGGAGGGCACUGCUGCACCAGAUUUCACCCAAGAAUUACGGGGUGGGGAAAGGAUACAAUGCGAAAAACAAAUUAGGAUGAGGCCAAAUGGUCAUGUAUAUUUGCACUAGCACGAUGGAAAGCUAUCAGCAUCUCCUAAGGACGUUUCAUCGUUUUGAAGGGCAGUUUGGCAUGGAUACUGCCAUGGAAACACACAGUUGUACAAGCAGAUGAAUGAACAGGGAGAUGAAAAAGCAGGACUGAGUGAGACAGCAGAAUGUUCCCCUUCCCAAACCACUGAUCGUUUUCUCCCAGCAGCAAUGCUUCCCUACAUUUUUGCUAACUAGCUUUUACAAGGUAAAACUGGUGCUCAGGAGAAUAAUGCUCACUUUGUUUGCCCCUGGUGGAAACACAAGGCCGUCAAGGCAGGGCUCAGCUAAUGUAUAAUCUAUAUUUACAUGUUAAAAAAAAAAAACCACCCUUAUUUAGGCUUUUGAUUUAUAAUCCCUAGUUUUCAUAAAAGUCACUCAUUCCCAGUGAAAGAAUGCAGAGUAGAUUUAUAGGAUCUGUAUUAUGCCUUAAAUCUUAAUGGCAUUUCUAAAGCACUUUUAUGAGUCAUCCUGAGAAAUGCUUUCCCUCUAUUUCCAAGACAUUGUUGUGUAAAAACAGAUCCAAAUCUUUACCUUAAAAGCAAGAUUAUUUUAGCCAACCACGCUUGCAUCAACUCCACUGCAAUGCUAAACACUCUGUCUGCAAUGUCUUUAUAAGCCCCCAUUUCCAAGGGUUCACAGCUUCAAUGUAAAAUGCACUUUGUACUAUGUUUGAUAAGUUCUUUAACCUACAUGAGUGGUGAAUUUGUUUUCACCAUUACAGCCAAAAUAAAAUAAAUCUUUGGAGGUAUCUGUAGGAAGGAGCUGGUGACACACUGGAACAGGUUGCCCAAGGAGGUUGUGGAUGCCCCAUCCCUGGAGGCAUUUGAGGCCAGGCUGGAUGUGGCUCUGGGCAGCCUGGUCUGCUGGUUGGUGACCCUGCACAUAGCAGGGGGAGUUAAAACUGGGUGAUCACUGUGGCCCUUUUCAACCCAGGCCAUUCUAUGAUUCUAUGAUAAAAGGCCUGAUGCUGCGCCCUCCCCCUGUCCCUCACACCAGGUUCUUUGCUUUGAGAUAUGAAAUACACAAAGCUCAGGUUCGAUCAGAAGCAGCACCAUCUGAUUCCAAGUACAUUAAUCACAUGCACACAUACAGAAGUGCUGGCUGGGCAUUAACAGUGCCAUGCCAACUCUCAAACAGCUCUCUGUAGAGCCAAUAUCCUUUAGAUGGAAAUUUAAAUGUGUUUUGAAGAAGUGAAGAGUUGAGUAUCAUAACACGGAAUGGUACAGAAGCAAUUUCUUAAACAUUUUUUAGGAAGCCAAGCAGCAACUAGUUCAUGCAAAUAUGCUAUUGCAAACCAUAAAUACGUAUGCUCACUGAUGAGAUGUUUCAGCAGGACUAUUCCUGAUACCAAGUGUACCAUUUAGCAGAUGUAUCAGCAGAAACUAGGUCCUCAGUGAGUGACGAAUUGCGUAGAUCUUUGUAAAGCAUCUAUCCCCUUGUUAACAAACGUGUUGCAUCUUUUGGAAGAGACCAAGAGAACUGACUCCAACUGACAGAAACAACAGUAUGGGAUCCAAAGGAGUAGCACCAAAGUCUUGUGAGCACACACCUGGCUGAUUCCCCUUUGCCUUUGACUCUGUAUUCAUGGCUUUACAACUCAUCACCUACCUCUGUUGUUGAAGCUGUCUCUGCACAGAAUCCAGGAUUGGAUAGAUUAGAUAGAGAACCCUGGACUGGACCAAGCAGCACAAUUUUGGGAGAAGUGGGAGCUAAGGAGGCAAGGGAGAGCCUGUCACCCACCCACCAUCAGUCUACUAUGGAAAAUGCAACAGCAGAUUGUGAAUGAAGUUGUCCAACCUACAGCAGGUACAGUGAUAGUCCAGAAGGAGGCAAGAGCUCCAUGGGGGUGACCAGGCACCACACAAAUGUUUCAGAACCUGGAAAAGAUACAAGACACAAAAACAAGAUCUCCAUAUCAAUGUUUCUGGCAUAGCUCUGUAAAUUCUGCCUAAAUGUCAUUUUAGUUAUGUAAUUUUUUUUUUUUUUUU